rnacentral:misc_RNA from 1 species
GCAAACUUGGUCAUUUAGAGGAAGUAAAAGUCGUAACAAGGUUUCCGUAGGUGAACCUGCGGAAGGAUCAUUAUUGAAUACUAGAUCGGAUGGUCAAGGGACCUUGACAAGCACAUUUGGGAUUAGAAUGCAACAGGCUUCACUGCCUCUUCAGCCGUCGGGGUUGUUGAUUGCCAGACAAGCAAUUGUCAGACUGCGUUCUACUUAGGCUAUUGCUUCGAGCAGAACACCCAUUUUUGUGUCAAGUGAAACCCCCCCUGGCCUUCGAUCCUGAUCAAUCCACUCUCCUGUGAACCAACGCGUAGACUAGUAUGAGCCUUCACGGGCUAUGAACGGCUGCGAUUUUAUACAUACCCCUAGCAAGUCUCAGAAUGUACCUGCGUUUAAUCGCAUAAAUACAACUUUCAGCAACGGAUCUCUUGGCUCUCGCAUCGAUGAAGAACGCAGC